AAAUUACAAGGGAAAAUUACCUAAAACUAGGGUUUUAAGAUUUAAUUAACAAAAAUCAGGUGAUUAAGAAAUUUUUACAAGAGUCAGGCGUUAAAAACUAAAAAAUCUCUCUCUCUCUCUCUCUCUCUCUCUCUCUCUCUGUGUGUGUGUUUGUAAAGCGAAAAGGGUACGGAACCAUGGUGGAACCAUUUCUCUAUCUAUUUCCAAAGCAGAAAGCGGAAUGGAACAAGAGAAGAAUGAGAUUUGACGAUGCCUUUGUCGAUUGGCACUCUCUCCAAAUCGAUUAGUAUGAUGAUCGUCACCUAUUAGUCGUCCCUCCAUCGCCACGCUGCUGCAGUCGCAAUCCUCAAUUUUUUUCCUCCAGCAACCCUGUCGUCAAACGCUUCCAACAGACACCCCAUCUCAAUUGAGACUCAACAGAGUUUGAUGCCCGAUCCACCAAAUCUUCCACCCACCUUCGACAAAGUUAUUAUUUCCUUCUCCCAUUCCACCUUCGUCUGACUCUGACGUCAGACUCAUUACCAUACUCUUUACUUGCAGUGCUCUUUUAGUUAUUGGCAUAGGAAGUCGUCAUAUGUUUAACGAUCUAUUCAAAUCAGUAAAUUCUAAGUCUUCUUUGGCAAUAAAUUCUUGUUGCUUUUGUAUUUGUUUGAAUUUUAUUUGUGAUUACGUUAUUAGUAGAUGCUGCUGCGAUGAAUUACUGUCUGUCGAGAUUUUUUAUCUGCAAUGCUCGAAAGCUUGCAGAAGAGGUUCUUAAAAUUAUUGUCGAAGGUAAUGAUGUGAAGUUGAGACCAAGCUGUUUGUGCACCUGCAAUUCC
rnacentral:lncRNA from 1 species